rnacentral:misc_RNA from 1 species
GAUGAAGAACGUAGCGAAAUGCGAUAAGUAAUGUGAAUUGCAGAAUUCAGUGAAUCAUCGAAUCUUUGAACGCACAUUGCGCCCGCCAGUAUUCUGGCAGGCAUGCCUGUUCGAGCGUCAUUUCAACCAUCAAGCCCCCGGCUUGUGUUGGGGACCUGCGGCUGCCGCAGGCCCUGAAAACCAGUGGCGGGCUCGCUAGUCACUCCGAGCGUAGUAAUACAUCUCGCUCAGGGCGUGCUGCGGGUUCCGGCCGUUAAAAAGCCUUAUUUACCCAAGGUUGACCUCGGAUCAGGUAGGAAGACCCGCUGAACUUAAGCAUAUCAAUAAGCGGAGGA